rnacentral:rRNA from 1 species
UAACACGUAGGAGACGAGCGUUAUCCGGAAUUACUGGGUGUAAAGCGCGUGCAGGCGGCAUGGCAAGAUAGAUGUGAAAGCCCCCGGCUUAACUGGGGGAGGUCGUUUAUGACUGCCAGGCUAGAGGGUACCAGAGGGAAGCGGAAUUCCGAGUGUAGCGGUAAAAUGCAUAGAUAUUCGGAAGAACACCAGUGGCGAAGGCGGCUUUCUGGGGUACGACUGACGCUCAGACGCGAAAGCUAGGGUAGCAAACGGG